rnacentral:rRNA from 1 species
GUCCACGCCGUAAACGAUGGAUACUAGCUGUUGGGAGCAAUUUCAGUGGCUAAGCGAAAGUGAUAAGUAUCCCACCUGGGGGAGUACGUUCGCAAGAAUGAAACUCAAAGGAAUUGACGGGGGCCCGCACAAGCGGUGGAGCAUGUGGUUUAAUUCGAUGAUACGCGAGGAACCUUACCAAGGCUUAAAUGUAGAUUGACAGGACUGGAAACAGUUUUUUCUUCGGACAAUUUACAAGGUGCUGCAUGGUUGUCGU